CUACGGGAGGCAGCAGGGAAUAUUGCACAAUGGGCGCAAGCCUGAUGCAGCCAUGCCGCGUGUAUGAAGAAGGCCUUCGGGUUGUAAAGUACUUUCAGCGGGGAGGAAGGGAGUAAAGUUAAUACCUUUGCUCAUUGACGUUACCCGCAGAAGAAGCACCGGCUAACUCCGUGCCAGCAGCCGCGGUAAUACGGAGGGUGCAAGCGUUAAUCGGAAUUACUGGGCGUAAAGCGCACGCAGGCGGUUUGUUAAGUCAGAUGUGAAAUCCCCGGGCUCAACCUGGGAACUGCAUCUGAUACUGGCAAGCUUGAGUCUCGUAGAGGGGGGUAGAAUUCCAGGUGUAGCGGUGAAAUGCGUAGAGAUCUGGAGGAAUACCGGUGGCGAAGGCGGCCCCCUGGACGAAGACUGACGCUCAGGUGCGAAAGCGUGGGGAGCAAACAGGAUUAGAUACCCCCGUAGUC
rnacentral:rRNA from 1 species